GGGAUUGCUCAGUAACGGCGAGUGAAGCGGCAACAGCUCAAAUUUGAAAUCUGGCCCUUUCGGGGUCCGAGUUGUAAUUUGUAGAGAGUGCUUCGGGGGAGACCGCGGUCUAAGUCCAUUGGAACAUGGCGUCACAGAGGGUGAGAAUCCCGUAUGUGACCGUGGCUCGAACCCAUGUGAAGCCUCUUCGACGAGUCGAGUUGUUUGGGAAUGCAGCUCAAAAUGGGUGGUAAAUUUCAUCUAAAGCUAAAUACUGGCUGGAGACCGAUAGCGCACAAGUAGAGUGAUCGAAAGAUGAAAAGCACUUUGGAAAGAGAGUUAAAAAGUACGUGAAAUUGUUGAAAGGGAAGCGCUGGCAACCAGACCUGCCCGUAGGCGAUCAGCCGCUGUUCUCAGCGGUGCACUCGCUCUGCGAUCAGGCCAGCAUCGGUUCCGGCGGUCGGAUAAAGGCCUUGGGAAUGUACCUUCCCUUCGGGGGAGUCUUAUAGCCCUCGGUGCAAUGCGGCCAGCCGGGACCGAGGACCGCGCUUCGGCUAGGAUGCUGGCGUAAUGGUUGUCAGCGACCCGUCUUGAAACACGGACCAAGGAGUCUAACAUCUAUGCGAGUGUUUGGGUGUCAAACCCAUGCGCGGAAUGAAAGUGAACGGAGGUGAGAACCCUUAAGGGCGCAUCAUCGACCGAUCCAGAUGUCUUCGGAUGGAUUUGAGUAUGAGCAUAGCUGUUGGGACCCGAAAGAUGGUGAACUAUGCCUGAAUAGGGUGAAGCCAGAGGAAACUCUGGUGGAGGCUCGCAGCGGUUCUGACGUGCAAAUCGAUCGUCAAAUUUGGGUAUAGGGGCGAAAGACUAAUCACCA
rnacentral:rRNA from 1 species